rnacentral:tRNA from 1 species
UUUAAUAUGGCAGAUAAGUGCAAUGGAUUUAAGAUCCAUAAAUUUAGUUUUUAACUUUUAUUAAAA